UGAUUGACCGUAUGAAUGGCCGAAGUUCAGGAUGGGGUUUACCUUGACAUUCUAAUGACCAUCCAUGCUCAAUUAGAGAGUGAUGAGUCAUGUGGUGAGAAUAGGAGGAGGUCCUAGUCUUGGGUGUCUCCAUUUUAUAUGGGCCAAGAUGAGUUUGGUUGGACUUACACUUGUGUGUGGUCGGGUGAAACCCCUCGGCA
rnacentral:lncRNA from 1 species